rnacentral:rRNA from 1 species
GUCUUUAUUAUAGCCUACAUAUAUAUUUAUUCUACUCAAUAAUAUAAAACAUUUAUAUAAUGAUA